rnacentral:rRNA from 1 species
UACGAGGGGGGCAAGUGUUGUUCGGAAUCACUGGGCGUAAAGGGAGCGUAGGCGGGCUCUUAAGUUGGAUGUUUAAAACCGGGGCCCAACCCCGGCGUGGCAUCCAAAACUGGGAGUCUUGAAUGGAACAGAGGCUAGUGGAAUUGGAGGUGUAGCGGUGGAAUGCGUAGAGAUCUCCAAGAACACCCGUUGCGAAGGCGGCUAGCUGGGUUCACAUUGACGCUGAGGCUCGAAAGCGUGGGGAGCAAACAGGG